AUUGAACGCUGGCGGCAGGCCUAACACAUGCAAGUCGAACGAGUGGCGGACGGGUGAGUAAUGUCUGGGAAACUGCCUGAUGGAGGGGGAUAACUACUGGAAACGGUAGCUAAUACCGCAUACCAUCAGAUGUUCCCAGAUGGGAUUAGCUAGUUGGUGGGGUAACGGCUCACCAAGGCGACGAUCCCUAGCUGGUCUGAGAGGAUGACAGGCCAAAAUGGAACUGAGAAACGGUACAGACUCCUACGGGAGGCAGCAGUGGGGAAUAUUGCACAAUGGGCGAAAGCCUGAUACAGCCAGGCCGCGGGUAUGAAGAAGGCAUUCGGGUUGUAAAGUACUUUCAGCGGGGAGGCGUUACCCGAAGAAGAAGCACCGGCUAACUCCGUGCCAGCAGCCGCGGUAAUAC
rnacentral:rRNA from 1 species